rnacentral:lncRNA from 1 species
AGUUUAGCCAAGCGAAAAUGAGGAGGAGAGGCUUUGUCCCAGACAUUUUAGCCUGAGUCUCAAUGCCUCUUAUUGGCUCCAACAGAUCACAUGCCCAGCUCUGAGCCAAUCAACGUGGCCACAUCCAGGUCAGUUAUUACUGCCCCCGCCCCCUGCCGAGGAGACCGGCUGGAAACCCGGGGGCUGUUGGGUCUUUCCCCGGGAGAUGGGGAGAGAGGAUGCGGGGCAGCUGGCACCACGAUAGGAAGAAAGUCUCAUCACAAGGGAGCCCCAUGGAGAGGAAUGAGCACAGAAUUUGGAGUCAGAAGAGUGGAAGGCCUGGGCUUGGGGCCUGGCUGCACCGUGCCAGCUGGAUGGUUCUGGGAAAGCUGCCCAACUCUCUGCUUCGCAAUCCCCACAUCUGUCACUAGGGAUCACAUCUGCCUCACCGGAUCAGCUGAGAUAAGGCACGUGUGUAAAAGGCUGUACAAAUGUUAGUUACUAUAAGAUUGUCUCAAAAAAAUAAAACCCACAGCAAAGAGUAUCCCAAGG